rnacentral:rRNA from 1 species
UGGUAGUGACGAAAAAUAACAAUGCGGGACUCUUCCGAGUCUGCGUAAUUGGAAUGAGCACACUUUAAAUCCUUUAGCAACAACCAAUUGGAGGGCAAGUCUGGUGCCAGCAGCCGCGGUAAUUCCAGCUCCAAUAGCGUAUAUUAAAGUUGUUGCGGUUAAAAAGCUCGUAGUUGGAGGUCAGUUGCGGACUGGGGUGGGAGGUCACCGCCCGGUGCUUCCCCUCUAGGCUCCGAACAGCUUCCGUGAGUGGAAGCCAAGCCGGCUUAGCCGGGGUGCUCUUUACCGAGUGUCCCGCGCAACCGGCCAGUUCACCUUGAAUAAAUGAGAGUGCUCAAAGCAGGCUACUCUGGAAUACAAUGCCCGAAUGUUACCUGCAUGGAAUGAUGGAAGAUGAUCUCGGUUGCAUUUUGUUGGUGGUGGCAGCCCGAGGUAAUGAUAAAGAGGGACUGUCGGGGGCAUCCGUACUACGACGCGAGAGGUGAAAUUCAGUGACCGUCGUAGGACGAACAACAGCGAAAGCAUUUGCCAAGAAUGUCUUCGUUGAUCAAGAACGAAAGUUAGAGGAUCGAAGGCGAUCAGAUACCGCCCUAGUUCUAACCCUAAACGAUGCUGACUAGCAAUUCGCCGUCGUUAUUCCCAUGACGUGGCGAGACGCCCCCGGGAAACCUCAAGUCUUUGAGUUCCGGGGGUAGUAUGGUUGCAAAAGUGAAACUUAAAGGAAUUGACGGAAGGGCACCACCAGGAGUGGAGCCUGCGGCUUAAUUUGACUCAACACGGGAAACCUGACCAGGCCCGGACACCAGAAGGAUUGACAGAUUAAGAGCUCUUUCACGAUUUGGUGGGUGGUGGUGCAUGGCCGUUCUU